ACAGCCAUUUCAGCCUUAAGCCACUUUCCUUGUUUCCAGCCUUGUCUGCUUUUCAGUCCUUGCUGUCUUCAGGAGAGCCAGCUAACCUUUCACAGAAUGGAAAUAUACUCUGCCACUCUGCUUAAAACCUUUAACUGUGUCCACUUGCCAGAUGGUCUCAUCUGCAACUUUCUCCUGCAGACCCUAUGCUUCAGUCAUACCGAGCUUCAUUCACUUCUGAUAAUGCAUCAUCUCUUUCAUCUAUCCAAGCCUUCAUGGUGCUGAUUCACAGUGAACCUUCACUACUUAGUCCCAGAUAACUGAUUAUCAGUGGUUGAAAUCAACGUGGAGAUGUCUCAGAAAACCUGUUUUAUAGAAACUUCUAGAAAGUUGCAAACCAAAAAAACAUGAAUGUCAUCAUGUCAUCUCAUUUUUCUGUUUUUGAAAAAUUAUGAAGUUUUCAGUAAUUGUGACUUUUUAAACAUGUAAAAGUAUGGAAGUACAUCCAGUAAACAAUGCCAUGUACAUUCCCCCUCAAUUUCCCAACCCCAUCCCCAUUUGCUGUCCAGAAGUGUGACCACAGUUAACGGUUUAAUGUGCAUCUUUUUAUGUACUUAACAUGUCUGUAAAUAUGUCUUUUAUCUUUUUUGCUCCCUCUUUUAAAUUUUAACUUGACGUUAAAGUUUAGAACUUCCAUGUUAGUAUGUGCAGCUGUAACACAUUCUUUUUUUAGUAGCCACAUAGUGUUUCAAUGUAUGGAUGUUCCAAAAUAUAUUACCCAUUUCCUGCUGUAACAUUUUAACUUUUUAGAAUUCAACUAUGUGUACUUUUGUAAUUAAAAAUGUGAAUUUUAUUUUGCCUAUGUGUUCUUCAUGAAACACGAUAUGUACGUUGGUAUAGUUGAUAUGUGUUACCAUACGUAACACAUAGGUAUAUGAAGAAUAACUACAUAUAUACUUGAACAACUUAUGUGCUGUUUAAAAAUCUUUUUUAACCAUAUGUCAUUUAUAAUAUAACUUGUUAAUUCUAGAACUUGUUUAAUAUUGAGAUUCCUAGAAAUGCAAUUUCUGGAUGAAAGUGAUGUGCGUUUAAUUUUGAGUAGAUAAGGCCGAAUUGCUCUCUACAAUUACAUCAAUUUAUAGUCCCAUCUAGCUUGUCCAUUUCUCAAUACCCUUUCUAACAUUUGAGAUUGUGUUUCUUUUUCUUUUUUAAGAGAGGGGAUCUUGCUAUGUUGCUCAGGCUAGCUUCAAACUCCUGGGCUCAAGGGGUCCUCCCGCCUCAGUCUCCCCAGUAGCUGGGACGCAGGUGCACACCGCCUGGCCUGGCUUAGAGAUUGUCCUUCUUACUCUGUAAUCAUUGGCUAGAAGAGGGCAUUUCAUUGUUGUGUUUUGUAUUUUUCUUAUUAAAGAAGUGUAUCAUUUUCAAGUGUUCAUUAGCUAUUUUUAGUUUUUCCACAAUUUGGUUAUCUUUUGUCUAUUUUUCUGUUAGAUUGCAUUUUUGAUUUUGUAGGCACUCUUUAUUACUAUUAUUAUUAUUAUUUUUCGAGGCAGGGUCUCACUCUGUCACCCAGGCUGGAGUGCAGUGGCGUGAUCUUGUCUCACUGCAACCUCCGUCUCCUGGGUUCAAGCGAUUUUCUUGCCUCAGCCUCCUGAAUAGCUGGGGCUACAGGCAUGUGCCACCAGGCCUGUCUAAUUUUUGUAUUUCUAGUAGAGACUGGGUUUUACCAUGUUGGCCAAGCUGGUCUCAAACUCCUGACCUCAAGUGAUCCAUCCGCCUCAGCCUCCCAAAAUGCUCGGCCUCCCAAAUCUGUUUUAGUGGUACAGGUACUCAUGCACAUGAGUACCGCUCCUGGCCUUGGCACUCUUUAUACGUUGUAAACAUUGAUUGUUUUUGUCUUUAAUAUAUUUUAGAAAUAUUUUCCCUAGUCUUUUUGCUUGUCCUUUUAAAGAUAGGCCCCUGUUAUCAUUUGCUGUAAAUGUCAUCAUCUGCAUAGAAAAUCCAAGAUUAUCAGUUGAAAAAAAAAAAAAAACAGAACUAAUAAACUUCAGUAAGAUGUCCAGAUGAGAAAAACACAAAAAUCACAGGGUUUUAAUUUUAUUUUUAAAAAUAUGGCUGGGCGCAAUGGCUCAGGCCUAUAAUCCUAGCACUUUGGGAAGCUGUGGUGGGUGGAUUACCUGAGGUUGGGUGUUCAAGACCAGCCUGGCCAACAUGGCGAAACCCCAUCUCUAUUAAAAAUACAAAAAUUAUCCGGGCAUGGUGGUGCACGUCUGUAGUUUCAGCUGCUCAGGAGGCUGAGGCAGGAGAAUCGCUUGAAACUGGGAGGCAGAGGUAGCAGUGAGCCAAGAUCAUGCCAUUGCACUCCAGCCUGGGCGACAGAGUGAGAUUGCAUCUCAAAAAUGUGUGUGUGUGUGUGUGUGUGUGUGUGUGUGUCAGCAUAGGAAAGUAGUACAGGUAGAGAGCAUUUCUAAUCUCAAAAUGCCCCACAAUCUGAAGCUUUUUGAGCACUGACGUACCACAAGUGGAAAAUUCCACACUUGACCUCAUGUGACAGGUUUCAGUCAAAACUUGGUUUUCAUGCACAUGAGUAUUAAAAAUGUUUUAUAAAACUACCUUCAGGCUAUGUUUAUAAGGUGUAUAUGAAGCGAAUGAAUUUUGUGUUUAGACUUGGUUCCCAUCCCCAACAUAUCUCAUUAUUUUUAAAAUAUGGAAAUAUUCCAAAAUCUGAAACACAUCUGGUCCCAGUCAUUUCACAUAAGGGAUUCUCACCCUGUACUAAUCAAUUAGAACACAUAAUAAAAAACAGAUACCAUUCUUGACAGCAA